rnacentral:rRNA from 1 species
CAAUAGCGUAUAUUUAAGUUGCUGCAGUUAAAAAGCUCGUAGUUGGAUUUCGGGUGGGAAUGGCCGGUCCGCCGUUUCGGUGUGCACUUGCUACGCCCACCUUGCUGCCGGGGACGUGCUCUUGAGUUCACGCUCGGGACACGGAGUCGGCGAGGUUACCUUGAGUAAAUUAGAGUGUUCAAAGCAGGCCUACGCUCUGAAUACAUUAGCAUGGAAUAACACGAUAGGACUCUGGCCUAUCUUGUUGGUCUGUAGGCCGGAGUAAUGAUUAAGAGGGACAGUCGGGGGCAUUCGUAUUUCAUUGUCAGAGGUGAAAUUCUUGGAUUUAUGAAAGACGAACUACUGCGAAAGCAUUUGCCAAGGAUGUUUUCAUUAA